CCCUGAGGCUGUGUCGGGUCGGACCGGCAGGCAGUGGCCGCUGGAGAGGCGAGGGGAGCGAGUGUCUGGUGGCCGGGCCGGGCGGUGGGUGGCUGGGACGGUGGAGUCGGAGCGUGUGCUGGUCGGUGACGCUGGUGGAUAACGGGAGACGGCAGGACAUGCCCUCGCUGGUGUCGGCACAGCAGUGUUUGGUGGGGGCCGCCACAGCCGUCUUGUCUCUUGAUCGCACCAGAACAGCAGCAGCGGACCGAGACAGCAGACAGCAGAGCGGCACCAACCGGCCACUUCGAAACGGGGCGUGUCCGCGUGAUUCAGACUCUGUGGACCACCGUCCGCUGUCUGCCCGGUCUCCGACACAACGGGCCUCGGACUACAGUACUACCAAAUAUCGGACUACAGAACUACCGGUCGUCAAACUACAGUACUACAACAAGUCCUCGGACUACAGAAUUACUGGUCAUCUAACUACAGUAAUACCAGUUCUCGGACUACGGCACUACCGGUCCGCAGACUACAGUUCAGCUAAAUGGGGACGAUUAUCCGGCCCGCUACAGAGAGAGACUCACCAUCAGUUAGCUCCAACCUGACCACUGGAGGAGCUCCUGUCCUGCUGGCACCGCCGGCGGUCGCCGUGCUUCCAACGCUGCUCGCUACGCGGAGGUGGCGCGCCUUCUGGUACAGUCCGGCGCGCGGAUCGACCUACUGAACGAGGCGGAGCGCCCGUCGCUGCAGAUGGCGCCACCGGGACUGGCGAGCGACCUCCAGCAGCUGGCGCCGCCCUCGGUGGAGCUCACUGCUGCCACAGGUGGCAGCACCGUUGCCCACAAGGCUCGACUGUCCGUCAGUGCGCGUGUUUCGAACCGACGGACCUCUGUUCCGUGCUUCUGAUCCAGAACAGAGUCGUUCUGGGCCAGUCAGCGUUUGUAACUAUGACUUGACUUGUGUUGAAUCUGAUGCAGCGAUGCUACCAAAAGACUUACCGUUGCGGAUUCGUCGACAACAGGUUCCCAAUAACGACUGAUUAGCGAUCUUUGUGGCGUGGCUCGCCUCUUCUCAAUCUGAGAACGUGUUUUGUAUCGCUCACUCAUUGUAUGGUCGUAUAUCUCUCAUGUUGCGCGUUCGCUGCAGCUGUACCUUGUCGACUGCUUGUGCUGAGUAACUAAGUGAUUUUCAUUGACGGCGGGUGCUAAACUGACGUCUUUUGUCGCCCUGUGGCUUAUCUCAGGUUAGCGUGGCG